UACGGAGGGGGCUAGCGUUGUUCGGAAUUACUGGGCGUAAAGCGCGCGUAGGCGGACCUGCAAGUCGGGGGUGAAAGCCCCGGGCUCAACCUGGGAACCGCGCUUGAGACUGGAGAACUAGAGUUCGGGAGAGGAUGGUGGAAUUCCCAGUGUAGAGGUGAAAUUCGUAGAUAUUCGGAAGAACACCAGUGGCGAAGGCGGCUCACUGGCCCGAUACUGACGCUGAGGUGCGAAAGCGUGGGGAGCAAACAGG
rnacentral:rRNA from 1 species